UACGUAGGGUGCAAGCGUUAAUCGGAAUUACUGGGCGUAAAGCGUGCGCAGGCGGUUCUAUAAGACAGAUGUGAAAUCCCCGGGCUCAACCUGGGAACUGCAUUUGUGACUGUAGAGCUGGAGUACGGCAGAGGGGGAUGGAAUUCCGCGUGUAGCAGUGAAAUGCGUAGAUAUGCGGAGGAACACCGAUGGCGAAGGCAGUCCCCUGGACCUGUACUGACGCUCAUGCACGAAAGCGUGGGGAGCAAACAGG
rnacentral:rRNA from 1 species